rnacentral:rRNA from 1 species
GUGCCUAACACAUGCAAGUCGAGCGGUAACGCGGGAGCAAUCCUGGCGACGAGCGGCGAACGGGUGAGUAAUGCUUCGGAAUCUGCCCAGUAGUGGGGAAUAACCAAUCGAAAGGUUGGCUAAUGCCGCAUACGACCUACGGGUGAAAGCGGGGGAUCGCAAGACCUCGCGCUAUUGGAUGAGCCGAAGUCGGAUUAGCUAGUUGGUAGGGUAACGGCCUACCAAGGCGACAAUCCGUAGCUGGUCUGAGAGGACGACCAGCCACACUGGGACUGAGACACGGCCCAG